rnacentral:rRNA from 1 species
UACGUAGGGAGCAAGCGUUAUCCGGAUUUAUUGGGUGUAAAGGGAACGCAGGCGGUCUUUUAAGUCUGAUGUGAAAGCCUUCGGCUUAACCGGAGUAGUGCAUUGGAAACUGGGAGACUUGAGUGCAGAAGAGGAGAGUGGAACUCCAUGUGUAGCGGUGAAAUGCGUAGAUAUAUGGAAGAACACCAGUGGCGAAAGCGGCUCUCUGGUCUGUAACUGACGCUGAGGUUCGAAAGCGUGGGUAGCAAACAGG